rnacentral:rRNA from 1 species
AACGGGAUUUAGUAGACAGAAGCUUCGGUGGAAGAUUACUAAUGAGAGUGGCGAACGGGUGAGUAACGCGUGAGCAACCUGCCUAUGACAGUGGGAUAGCCUCGGGAAACCGGGAUUAAUACCGCAUAAAAUCGUAGAAACACAUGUUUUAACGGUCAAAGAUUUAUCGGUCAUAGAUGGGCUCGCGUCUGAUUAGCUAGUUGGUGAGAUAACAGCCCACCAAGGCGACGAUCAGUAGCCGGUCUGAGAGGAUGAACGGCCACAUUGGAACUGAGACACGGUCCAAACUCCUACGGGAGGCAGCAGUGGGGAAUAUUGCACAAUGGGGGAAACCCUGAUGCAGCGACGCCGCGUGAACGAAGAAGGUAUUCGUAUCGUAAAGUUCUGUCCUAUGGGAAGAUAAUGACAGUACCAUAGAAGAAAGCUCCGGCUAAAUACGUGCCAGCAGCCGCGGUAAUACGUAUGGAGCGAGCGUUGUCCGGAAUUAUUGGGCGUAAAGGGUACGCAGGCGGUUUAAUAAGUCGAAUGUUAAAGAUCGGGGCUCAACCCCGUAAAGCAUUGGAAACUGAUAAACUUGAGUAGUGGAGAGGAAAGUGGAAUUCCUAGUGUAGUGGUGAAAUACGUAGAUAUUAGGAGGAAUACCAGUAGCGAAGGCGACUUUCUGGACACAAACUGACGCUGAGGUACGAAAGCGUGGGGAGCAAACAGGAUUAGAUACCCUGGU